GGGAUAGAGUGGGAGGAAGGGGAGAUUUUAAAGUCCUGGUCAAGAUAAUGGGAGCAGUUUCCUUUACGGAUUAUGAAUUUGCUUUCAUAGCUUGGCUCUAGUUUGUUUGCAGGGAACAUGGUUUGGCUCCCACUGUCUUCAGCAAAGCUGGACUGAAGUGGCCUCAGUGCAAGACAGACUCAGAACUUGGCUUUGAAGGGGCCCAUUCUGUUGCUUGUUAGUGGGUCAAAUUUUGGAGCUCUGACUCAGGCUGAACUUUCAGUGGCUUUUGCACCUGGAGAUUUAAAUAUCUGUCUGCAGGGAAGGUGAGCACCAAACGGCAUCCCUAGCUGCAGCUCCUUAAGACGUUACCUCCCCCUUCAUCCCCUCCAGCUGUUUAUUAUUUCCCUUCUGCUGCUGCUUACCACCUCCACGGUGUGUCAGAAGAAUGGGACACGAAUGCUCCCACCUCAGCACAAAGUCUGGCAGCGGCUCCCUUCCAGCUGCUGGGGAAAGGGGUUUAGGCAGAGCUGCCAGCCUUUGCCCAGGAGCCUCGCAGGAGAGUGCGAGAGCUGUUCCAGCGGCGCUGCGCCGGCAGCGGGAGCCUCCGGCACAAGGGAGCAGAUGAACGAGCUGCCGGGGGUGGCAGCGGUGGUGAUAACAUCUGGACCCACCCGAGGAGAGCGCAUCUCCCGAUGCUGUAGGAGUCACAAUUCUGAUUCCCAUGUGGCUGAGGUAGCCAAUGCAGGGAUGAGCACUGGACAAGUGUCUAUAUUGUUGGGGAGAUGCAUCAGCUCCAGCUCUGCUGCCUUUUACUGGAAGCUCAUACAGGAAGCAAAAUGUUGCCCUCCGCUGUUUGCAGCGUUGCUGGAACAGAGAACUCGCUGCGUCCGAGCCAGUCCAGUGCUUUACUCCAGUGUCACAUCCCUGGCACUGGUCAGGGGAUUUGGAGAGAGACGACUCCCACCCAGCCCACAGAUGCUGCAAAGACCUGAAAAAGGUCCCAUCACCCUCCCUGAGCCACCAGGAGUGACAUCCUUCCACUCUUAGGGUGAGCUGCUCCUGCCCUGGCACCUCAGCCUGGGACUGAGACCUGGGGGUUGGCCAUGGAUCACCCGGUUGUCUUCACACUGAGGUGGGUCCAACCAAGACCAACCUCCUCACAUGUCGUGUUUCACAAGAAAACAAAGCAAAGCAGCUCAGUUGUGCAUCCUUGGUCCAAAUUCCUCAUUUUUCCCUUCUCUUUUUUCUUGGUGACUCUUCAAGCUCCUUCUGGUAACUUUAGAGCUAUGCUGGCAAAAUUGUCCCCCUGCUCCUCCUUGCUAGAGAUGCAACACAGAUGGAUUCAUGCCUUUUAUAGACCUUCAACAUCUGAGUGCUGGGAGUAUUAAACCAGUUAGUGGAGGGAGUGACUACUUUUUUUUGUAGAUGUGGAAACUGAGGCAUAGGCUACUUGUCCAGGUGAAAAGAAAUCAGAUUUUAGGGCCAAGGGACACAAUUUCACUUGGAAACCUUUGCUGCAUCAGCUUCCCUGGCAUUUCUUGAGAUGUUUCCGCAAGGGAGGAGACCCUUUCUCCUUUCUUCUUGCCCAGAAAGGAUCAGAAGUCAGGGACAGAGCUGACAACAUGGCACCAUGGACCCAUGACCUCCCUUCUUGUACAAGGGGCAGCAGGCAGAAAUAAAACACAGUUCAGGGCUGGUGGAGCUGGAGGA
ensembl:lncRNA